rnacentral:rRNA from 1 species
UACGGGGGGGCAAGCGUUGUUCGGAAUUACUGGGCGUAAAGGGCUCGUAGGCGGCCAACUAAGUCAGACGUGAAAUCCCUCGGCUUAACCGGGGAACUGCAUCUGAUACUGGAUGGCUUGAGUUCGGGAGAGGGAUGCGGAAUUCCAGGUGUAGCGGUGAAAUGCGUAGAUAUCUGGAGGAACACCGGUGGCGAAGGCGGCAUCCUGGACCGACACUGACGCUGAGGAGCGAAAGCCAGGGAGCGAACGGG